GCCCGGGUGGUGAAAUGGCAAACACAGGGUACUUAAAAUACCCCGCCUAACGGCAUGCGGGUUCGAAUCCCGCCCCGGGCA
rnacentral:tRNA from 1 species